AGAUAAAAUAAUUGAAAAGUAGUUAAAAUAGUUCUCUUCUGUUUUUUUUUUGAACCAGUUUUAACACGAAAGAAAAAGACACCAGUCAUUGACCUAUCAUAAUAAUAUACACAAGAUUUGGCUUAUUUAAAUGUAAUCCCGAAGAGCGAAUAUUAAAUACUCCUCUGGAUAGCACAAUAAUUCGAUUCUAACAAUAAAUUAGAAUAUAUUGGGAAAAGUUUAACAAUAAAUUAGUACUAACUUUUUCCUGUGGAUAGCACAAUAAUUCGAUCCUAACAACAAUGCCUGUCUAUUUUAGUCGCCAGUUUCAAAAUACUGCAAUACAGUGAAAACAUUUUAAAACACAUGCUUCAUCUUAUCUUUUUGGCUAUUCUUCACAGUGGUAAGUUUCCGUCGGUGCCGAUAUUAUAUGUUUGUGCUAUUAAUUAAUCAUGAAUUGUAUAAAUUUCCAGAUUUGUUGGUGGAGCCUUGUAGGCCAUCAAAAGCUUUUGAUUUUUGAA
rnacentral:sRNA from 1 species